rnacentral:rRNA from 1 species
CGCGGCCUAUCAGCUUGUUGGUGGGGUAGUGGCCUACCAAGGCGACGACGGGUAGCCGGCCUGAGAGGGUGACCGGCCACACUGGGACUGAGACACGGCCCAGACUCCUACGGGAGGCAGCAGUGGGGAAUAUUGCGCAAUGGGCGAAAGCCUGACGCAGCGACGCCGCGUGAGGGAUGACGGCCUUCGGGUUGUAAACCUCUUUCAGUAGGGACGAAGCGCAAGUGACGGUACCUACAGAAGAAGCACCGGCCAACUACGUGCCAGCAGCCGCGGUAAUACGUAGGGUGCAAGCGUUGUCCGGAAUUAUUGGGCGUAAAGAGCUCGUAGGCGGUCUGUCGCGUCGGCUGUGAAGACCCGAGGCUCAACCUCGGGCCUGCAGUCGAUACGGGCAGACUGGAGUACUGCAGGGGAGACUGGAAUUCCUGGUGUAGCGGUGAAAUGCGCAGAUAUCAGGAGGAACACCGGUGGCGAAGGCGGGUCUCUGGGCAGUUACUGACGCUGAGGAGCGAAAGCGUGGGGAGCGAACAGGAUUAGAUACCCUGGCAGUCCACGCCGUAAACGUUGGGCGCUAGGUGUGGGGGCCAUUCCACGGUCUCCGUGCCGCAGCUAACGCAUUAAGCGCCCCGCCUGGGGAGUACGG